rnacentral:rRNA from 1 species
GACGAACGCUGGCGGCGUGCUUAACACAUGCAAGUCGAACGGAAAGGCCUGCUUUCCCUUGUGGUUUGCGGGUACUCGAGUGGCUAACGGGUGAGUAACACGUGAGUGAUCUGCCCCCAACUUGGGUAUAAGCCUGGGAAACUGGGUCUAAUUCCCGAUAGGACUUCAGGGUGGUUCCUGUGGUGGAAAACGAUUUUCUAGUGGUUGGGGAUGAGCUCGCGGCCUAUCAGCUUGUUGGUGGGGUAAUGGCCUACGAAGGCGGCGACGGGUAGCCGGCGUGAGAGGGUGGACGGCGACACUGAGACAGGGAUACGGCCCAGACGCGUAGGGGAGGCAGCAGUGGGGAAUAUAAGAGAAUGGGCGGAAGCCUGAUGCAGCGACGCUGCGUGGAGGAUGACGGGAUUGGGGUUGUAAACACCUUUCGACCGAGAGGAAGAAACCUGGUUGGAAGGGUGGUGACGGUAGUGGUAGAAGAAGCACCGGCUAACUACGUG